UCACCAGGUUGAUUCUGCCUGACAUGGAUGCUAUCUAAUGAGAUUAGCCAUGCAUGUUUUAUGAGAGUUAUAUACUCGAAUGACGGACGGCUCAGUAAUACUUGUAUUAUCUAAAGUGUCGAUGUAUAAACCACGGGAAUCUGUGGGUUAAAGAUACUGUGAGUACAAGACCUAUCAGUUUUAUUGUACGGUAAUGGCGUACGAUGACUACGACGGGUGACGGAUAAUGAGAGUUAUAUUCCGGAGAGGGAGCCUGAGAGAUGGCUACUACGUCUAAGGAUGGCAGCAGGCGCGAAACUUGUCCAAUGUGAUAGUGAGACAGUUAUUUAGAUUGAGUGGUUUUGUGAUUAUAAAAAGAUUACAAAGAUGUACUGGAGGGCAAGUCGGGUGCCAGCAGCCGCGGUAAUACCUGUUCCAGUAGUGUGUGUGGAUGAUGUUGCGGUUAAAAUGUCUGUGGCGUAUUGUGAUUAGGAGCUGAAGGAGGACGAAGUAUGGUUGGGAGAGAGGUGAAAUGUCAUGACCCUGAUUGGACUGUCUGAGGCGAAGGCGUCGUUCUUGUAAGUGUCUGAUUGUGAAAGACGAAGGCUGGAGGAUCGAGAUUGAUUAGAUACCUUUUUAGUUCUAGCAGUAAACUAUGGUGACUAUGCGAUAUCUGUGAGUAUUGUAUAAAUGAAAGUGUAAGUUUUCGACCUGUGGGGAUAGUAUGCUGGCAAGAGUGAAAGUUAAAUGAAAUUGACGGAAGGACACCACCAUUAGUGGAGAGUGCGGCUUAAUUUGAUUCAACGCGGGGCAACUUACCAUUAUGUAGAUGAAGUGUAGAUAAGAGAUCAUUGUGAGUGGUGCAUGGCCGUUUCAAAUGGAUGAUGUGAGUUUGAGCUUAAUUGCUUUAAGAUGUGAUUUUCACGUAGGACGGGUAUUAGAAGUACAGGGGGGAGUGUGAUAAGACAGGUCCGUGAUGCCCUUUUGUAAUAUGGGCUGCACGCGCGCUACUAUAUGGGUGAUUGUGAUGAGAGUGUUUAGCCCUUGUGUGGGAUAGAUGCUUGUAAAUGCGUCUUGAACGUGGAAUUGAAAGUAAUUGUGAUUCACCAAGUGAUGAUGAACAAGUCCCUGUUCUUUGUACACACCGCCCGUCGCUAUCUAAGAUUAUGGAUGUCGAAUGUUUAAA
rnacentral:rRNA from 1 species